GUGAAAUCCUAUAGCUUAACUAUAGAACUGCUUUGAAAACUGUUAAUCUAGAAUGUGGGAGAGGUAGAUGAAUUUCUGGUGUAGGGGUAAAAUCCGUAGAGAUCAGAAGGAAUACCGAUUGCGAAGGCGAUCUACUGGAACAUUAUUGACGCUGAGAUGCGAAAGCGUGGGGAGCAAACAGGUUUAGAUACCCUGGUAGUCCACGCCCUAAACGAUGUACACUAGUUGUUGUGAGACUUGAUCUUGCAGUAAUGCAGUUAACACAUUAAGUGUACCGCCUGGGGAGUACGGUCGCAAGAUUAAAACUCAAAGGAAUAGACGGGGACCCGCACAAGCGGUGGAGCAUGUGGUUUAAUUCGAAGAUACACGAAGAACCUUACCUGGACUUGACAUAGUAAGAACUUUCUAGAGAUAGAUUGGUGUCUGCUUGCAGAAACUUAUAUACAGGUGCUGCACGGCUGUCGUCAGCUCGUGUCGUGAGAUGUUGGGUUAAGUCCCGCAACGAGCGCAACCCUCGUGUUUAGUUGCUAACAGUUCGGCUGAGAACUCUAAACAGACUGCCUACGCAAGUAGGAGGAAGGUGAGGACGACGUCAAGUCAUCAUGGCCCUUACGUCCAGGGCUACACACGUGCUACAAUGGGAUAUACAAAGAGCCGCAAUACGGUGACGUGGAGCAAAUCUUAUAAAAUAUCUCCCAGUUCGGAUUGUAGUCUGCAACUCGACUACAUGAAGUUGGAAUCGCUAGUAAUCGUAGAUCAGCUAUGCUACGGUGAAUACGUUCCCGGGUCUUGUACUCACCGCCCGUCACACCAUGGGAGUCGAA
rnacentral:rRNA from 1 species